AGUGAACGCUGGCGGUAGGCCUAACACAUGCAAGUCGAACGGCAGCACAGGAGAGCUUGCUCUCUGGGUGGCGAGUGGCGGACGGGUGAGGAAUACAUCGGAAUCUACUUUUUCGUGGGGGAUAACGUAGGGAAACUUACGCUAAUACCGCAUACGACCUACGGGUGAAAGCAGGGGACCUUCGGGCCUUGCGCGAUUGAAUGAGCCGAUGUCGGAUUAGCUAGUUGGCGGGGUAAAGGCCCACCAAGGCGACGAUCCGUAGUUGGUCUGAGAGGAUGCUCAGCCACCCUGGACCUGAGACACGGUCCAGACACCUACGGGAGGCAGCAGUGGGGAAUAUUGGACAAUGGGCGCAAGCCUGAUCCAGCCAUACCGCGUGGGUGAAGAAGGCCUUCGGGUUGUAAAGCCCUUUUGUUGGGAAAGAAAUCCAGCUGGCUAAUACCCGGUUGGGAUGACGGUACCCAAAGAAUAAGCACCGGCUAACUUCGUGCCAGCAGCCGCCGUAA
rnacentral:rRNA from 1 species